rnacentral:miRNA from 1 species
CUGGAUUUUCAUUAGAACAGC